AUACGUAGGUGGCAAGCGUUAUCCGGAUUUACUGGGUGUAAAGGGCGCGUAGGCGGGGGUGCAAGUCAGAUGUGAAAUCUAUGGGCUUAACUCAUAAACUGCAUUUGAAACUGUAUCUCUUGAGUGCUGGAGAGGUAGACGGAAUUCCUUGUGUAGCGGUGAAAUGCGUAGAUAUAAGGAAGAACACCAGUGGCGAAGGCGGUCUACUGGACAGUAACUGACGCUGAGGCGCGAAAGCGUGGGGAGCAAACAGGAUUAGAUUCCCUGGUAGUCCACGCUGUAAACGAUGAAUACUAGGUGUGGGGGGACUGACCCCCUCCGUGCCGCAGUUAACACAAUAAGUAUUCCACCUGGGGAGUACGGCCGCAAGGUUGAAACUCAAAGGAAUUGACGGGG
rnacentral:rRNA from 1 species